UGGCAUUGCUGUCAUUAGUGAAAUACAAACCAUCCAUAGCACUACAGAAGGUAUUUUACAUCAGGGAAAAGAGCCAUCGGAGCGUCAGAGCUACUACAAGCCACGCAUAGAAGAAAGACAGCUUUCUCCCCCAAAAGCUCUCGGGAGGCAGACAGCAGCUGGAAGCCACGGGGUGCGGAGCCGCUUCCUGCAGGAGGGGCUGGGGGGGCCCAACUCACAGCCGGAAAACCGAAUUUAGAGCAUUGGAGAGCACAAAGCUGCACUUCCUCCGGGCCCUCCGCUCCGGUGGGAUGUGAGAAAGGCGUUCUAUAAAUAAGUGCUUGGAUAAAUAAAUGAGACUGAGCUCCUCCCCAUGGAGCCGCUUCUUCCUGCCCGGAGACCCGGCAACACUUCCAGCACG
ensembl:lncRNA